rnacentral:rRNA from 1 species
UACAGAGGUCUCAAGCGUUGUUCGGAUUCAUUGGGCGUAAAGGGUGCGUAGGCGGCGGGGCAAGUCAGGUGUGAAAUCCCGGGGCUCAACCCUGGAACUGCACUUGAUACUGCUUUGCUAGAGUACUGGAGAGGAGAUUGGAAUUUACGGUGUAGCAGUGAAAUGCGUAGAUAUCGUAAGGAAGACCAGUGGCGAAGGCGGGUCUCUGGACAGUUCCUGACACUGAGGCACGAAGGCCAGGGGAGCAAACGGG